AAACCAGCACCUCAAGUGGUCAGGAUGAUUAUUGGGCCUAAAGCAUCCGUAGCCGGCUCUGUAAGUUUUCGGUUAAAUCUGUACGCUCAACGUACAGGCUGCCGGAAAUACUGCAGAGCUAGGGAGUGGGAGAGGUAGACGGUACUCGGGAGGAAGGGGUAAAAUCCUUUGAUCUUUCGAUGACCACCUGUGGCGAAGGCGGUCUACCAGAACACGUUCGACGGUGAGGGAUGAAAGCUGGGGGAGCAAACCGGAUUAGAAACCCGGGUAGUCC
rnacentral:rRNA from 1 species